GUGUCAUCUUUGUACCACAAAGAUCUUAUUUAUUUAUUUAUUUAUUUUGGGGGGGGGGGGGAAGGGGAGGGCAGCGAUGGUAGUGCUAAUGGCAUUCAGUGUACUCUUUGCAAAGCUAUGGCAAGACUGUAAUCAAAAUAAGAGGUCUUUAUGGAAAUAGUUUGAGAUGUGUUUGCAUUAGUAAAUCAGGGUGUAUUUUAUUUCAUUUUCAUUUUAUAGUCUUAAUUAUUUUUCCUUCAGUAUUUGCUCCAAAGCUUUCCAUGAUCUUAUGGUAAGACUAGUCCCAUGUAAUUUACCCGUUGUAUGAUGUUUGGACUAAGUCUUAAGCAAAAAGCACAAUUUUAAAAUAUGUGCCUUCUACAUGAAUCUACAGCACUCACAUGGGCAAAACUGUAUAACAAGGAAAGAAGCAGAGAAAUUCUUCCAAGACUAGACUGGCAAUAGUCUGUGAUCUCUGCUGUAGUUUGUGUCUGUCCACCCACUUUGUCUUCCAAAGCAGCAGAAGUCUGUUCAAAUGGAAAAUACAGACAGUUCCAGAGAUUGUAGCUUCAAUCAUUUCAUUGCCAUUCACAUUGCCUUCAGUCUUCAUAUUCUCACAACUUGCCUGUUGAGUACAAUCCAGUCAAAGAAGCCAUGUUUUCAGGACGAACUGACUGGAAGAGCAUCAGAAGGAUUCACUCAUACCUCACCUAUAAAUCCUCUUUAAGCAAGACCUCUCAUCGAGUUCUUAUCUGGGGAGGAGAGACCAGGACAUACACUGUACAGAUACUUCUGCUUUCAGGGGCACGUACAAACUAGCCAUGCAGCUAUGCCGAUGUGACUUACAUGAUUAAAAUGUUUCUGCUAAUGUGUGUGCUGGCUUUUUUGUGUGUUGUGAGAUGUGAAAUGCUAUUGGCUUGAGGCCUACAAGAUGGGCUCCAUGCAGGUAUUCAUAAGGCAGGGCUUGCUGCUUACCAGAACUCAUGGAGAUUUCAGGGCCUCCAAAUGCCAUGUGUGGGGUACAGAGAAGCUUCAAAUCAAACAACAAAAAUCCAUCAAACAACUCUACUUAUUAGUCUAAAUUCCUCUGCCUCCAACUCCUGCA
rnacentral:lncRNA from 1 species